UAAAACUGGAAUGUUAACACGGUGCAGUUCGAUAUUGAAAUAAGAGUUUUUUAAAACACAAUUUGGUUUACAUGUUGUUGUAUAAUAUCCGCUUAGUUAACUGGUUGCGGUUAGAAGAUACAUUUUGGUUGAAUACUUUGAUAUAGGAUAAACAUCUUACUUUAAGAAACCUCAAAGCGACAGAUUUGACCAGGUUUUUGACUUUACAUUUUUCUGAAUGUGCUGGCAAAUGAAGACUAGGAAACAUGGCAUUAACAUCAAUAAUUGUAAGUAAUUUCUGGGUUGACAUUGCAAUUACAUCACAUGGAGAAGAUUUUAAUCUUUGUGACAACAACAUUUGGAAGACAGACUCGCAUGCAAGUACAAUUUUGUACACAGAGUUCGAAGGGUCCUCAGUAGAGUCAUAUAGUGCUUUUCUGCACAUGUUGCAGUCAAAUUGACGUUCCAUUUUCACAACACAAUAUCCAGCAAUAACAUCUCCAUUUCAAUCGCAAUCUCUUCCUCCACAGGAUUUUGUUCAAUUUGACAAUUUUGGUCCUCCAAUGUGGUUGAAGGAAGAAGUGAACAGUUGGAUGAUAAAGAAGCUGUCACACCACCACUUUUUAUGACGAGAAGCUUUCUCAUAAUGUACUUCACUUGGAUUGCAGUGGGAUUGUUAUUUAACCCACCCCUUAAUCGAAUAAUGCUAAAGAAAUGCUCGAGUGGAUCUUGCUGAGUAAGUCUUGUGCAUAGACAACUUAAGGAGUUGGAUUGAGUUAACACGUCCCAGGCAAGUGCUACAGUAGAUAUUAUUGUGGCUGUAAAGCCAACUGCAACUGCCUUUCGCCUACUAGUACAAACAAGUGUACCCGUAGUUUGAAAUUGUCAGUGGAGCUUUAUCGUUCGUUUGUUUCGGAUUCCACGAGUUCAGCAUGUCGAACAACUUGUUGAAUUUACGGCAAUACUCUUCUGUGGCCUCACUUCCGACAAACUAGAGAAACGAGUAAAUUACAAUGUUCGUCGCGUAAAUGGCGAAGAGCAUCCGCUGUUGAGUUACUCAAUACUUGCGCAGCAAGAACUACUUUCAUCUUAUGUGUACUAAUGUCGACGUGGCUUUUUGUUAAUUUGUUACCAAGACGAAAUCCUUGAAGGUUCUGGCAUUCAAAAAGCUCGGUGAUGAACGACCAUUUUGCUAGACGAGAAAAGCCAGGUAUCUAACAUCACGUGUUGUCUUCAUUUGUCUUGGGAUGACUGAAUGUAGUUUUCAUUGGUGCGUACUUGAUGUGGUCGGCUACUAUUUGCUGAGGAGUCCUCUUCCUUGGCCGUCUUGGAAUGUACGUUGGUCGUUUAUCUGGAAAUUUGAUGUUUGCUCCAAGACAAUUGACCAUCGUCAAAUUUGCAGCCAACCCGUCGAAAGUAACUACUUUUACAUUUACGUCGAAUUCGUGACAGGCAACAAUAACAUCAUUAAGCACUUUUGACUGGCUUAGCCCCGUUAAAUGAGUCGUGAAGUAGUAAGCGACGGGAGAUCUCCAUUUUCCAUCCAAUCCAACGACGUAGAACACUAAUAUUUGAGUAGCAAGAAGUUGAUGAUCUGUUUCUCGACUUGAUUGUUUAUCAUCAGGAAAAUCUGUGAAUCCCAAAUAUUUCUUUAAUUGUGGAUCGUAGCAUAACUUAAUUUAACUUAAUGGACAUCUCAUCCACACUCAAAGUUACAUCUUUCCCGUGUUUUCCGUCUGCGAUGUCUUUUUGUAUUUGGGAUAAUGCGUUUCUUAAAAUUCCGGAAUUACAACCAACUGGCGCAAGGUAGCGCCGAAGACUCCGGACAGAUGGCAAGGUCACGGAUGAACUUCGAGUAUCUGCGUUUCUCCUUUUUCUUUCCAGAAUUUAACUUCUCGUUAACAUAGAGUUGGUAAGCGGUUUCGGACAGGUCGGUUUUCUUGAUAGUGUUUUUGUUAGCUUUCUUUAGAUCUUCACAUUGCAUUUUUGACUUCUUCAACUGCUGCUUCAAUAUUUUAAUUUUACCCUCUUUGACGUUUAGUUCAAUGUGGCUCUUGCGCUCACGGGAUGCCAUUGCGGCCAAUUUUCUCUUUUUACCAACAUUCACUUGCUUGAGGUAGUCUAUUUCACAAUUGUGCUUCGCAUCUAGUUCACGAAUUUCUCUCUUUAGACUGUCUAUGUGCUCUUUGUAUUCCUGCCUUAUACGAUUGUUUUCUUCUGUAAGUCUGUUGAUGUCAUCAAUACAGCUAUU